GUGACCUCAAAUCAGGUAGGACUACCCGCUGAACUUAAGCAUAUCAAUAAGCGGAGGAAAAGAAACUAACAAGGAUUCCCCUAGUAACUGCGAGUGAAGCGGGAAAAGCUCAAAUUUAAAAUCUGACAGUCUUUGGCUGUCCGAGUUGUAAUCUAGAGAAGUGUUAUCCGCGCUGGACCGUGUACAAGUCUCCUGGAAUGGAGCGUCAUAGAGGGUGAGAAUCCCGUCUUUGACACGGACUACCAGGGCUUUGUGAUGCGCUCUCAAAGAGUCGAGUUGUUUGGGAAUGCAGCUCAAAAUGGGUGGUAAAUUCCAUCUAAAGCUAAAUAUUGGCGAGAGACCGAUAGCGAACAAGUACCGUGAGGGAAAGAUGAAAAGAACUUUGGAAAGAGAGUUAAACAGUACGUGAAAUUGCUGAAAGGGAAACGCUUGAAGUCAGUCGCGUUGUCCAGGGAUCAACCUUGCUUUUGCUUGGUGCACUUUCUGGUUGACGGGUCAGCAUCAAUUUUGACCAUUGGAAAAAGAUUAAGGGAAUGUGGCAUCUUUGGAUGUGUUAUAGCCCUUGGUUGCAUACGAUGAUUGGGAUUGAGGAACUCAGCACGCCGCAAG
rnacentral:rRNA from 1 species